UGGGGACAUGGGUCAGUGGUGGCCUUGGCACUCACUGCUGGGUUGGCAGUUGGCCUCUAUGAUCUUAUGGGUCUCUUUCAACCCAAACAAUUCCAUGAUUCUCUGAUCAUUGUCCUUAGGUAGGGCUAACUCUCCUGCUCCUGCCAGACUGCUCUGGGAGAGGAAAAAAUCCAGUGAGUGCCAAGAGCUCCAAAUUCUUCCUGUCCAGCUUCCUGGUGAGGAAGGAAAAAAUAAAACUGGUCUCAUGGGGAAGCAGACUGCUGUAUUCAUCAGAGACCAGGUGUCAGCAAGGAAGCUGAGGAAGGGUUUGGUGGCCCAAACAAGUUCCCAACCCACCUGUGGUGAAGUGUUCCCGGCAGCAGCUCCAGACCCAGCGCUGCCUGGCAGAGGCCUGGCCACAAUUCCUCCAAGGAGCAGCCAGGUCCAAAUGAAGACAAAGCACUGGGAGGCUGUGAUGGACGACGGGCAGAGCUGCCUCGUCUGAGCCGCUCGUACAACACCCAAACGAAGACACAAAUCAAUGCAAAGUGUUUGAACUCCAGAAAGAAAGGAAAAAUCAGCACAUCCAUCACACUCAGACACACGUCCACUCCAGCCCAAGUGUUGGCAGAGUUUCUUAGCGCUGGCAGCAGCUGGAUUAACACAAACUGGGAUGUACAAGCACGGGACACGAGGUCCCUCUUCCUUCCCCAAGAGGCAAAUGGAUCCCUGUCGCCUUCA